CGCCGGCAGCUGCGGACCGGCACCCCGCAUCCUGCGGGCCCUGCGCCGGAGCAGCCCCAAGCUGAGCCCUCGAGUCCCCAGCCGUGUCCCCGCAGCGCGGCCCGUUUCCUCUUGUCCGAUUGCAAUAGGGCCUGCCAAAAAAGUCUGCCCCAUUCCUUCUUACGGCCCCGCUUCACAUACUGAGAGGCCGCUCUCGGGUCUCCCCAGAGCAUUCUCUUCUCCAGGCUGAGCGGCCUCAGCUCUCUCAGCCCGUCCUCAUAGGGGUGGUGAUCCACACCUUGGCUCAUUUCUGUGGCCCUCCUCUGGAUGCGCUCCAACAGGUCCAUGUCUCUCCCGCACUGAGGACUCCACAUCUGGAUGCGGUACUCCAGGGCUGCGCUCAUUCCUUUCAUCCAACCAUUACUACACAGAACUACUGGCUGUGUCCCUUGGUAUCGCUACAGACCCUCCAUGCCUGCCAAAGGGCUGCUAAAACCUCGUGGCUGGGGCAGGAGGUCAUCUCAGGGCACUUGGCUGCUCCAGGGAACAAAUUCCUAUGCAGUGGUGCCAUGAGCCUUUGAGAGCUGCCAUUGAGAAGUGGCAUUUGCAGAUCACAGUGAAUGGAAUUCCCCACAGCUAGUAACACCUGCAUCAGUGCUUGUGGAGAAUGCAGCGGGAAGUGGUGGUCUCUUCUCUCAGGUAAUGAGUGAUGGGAUGCAAGAAAAUGGUCUCAUGCUGUGCCAGGGGAGGUUUUAGUUAGACAUGAAGAAGAAUUUCUUCAUAGAGAAGGUGGUCAGGCAUUGGGAUGGGCUGCCCAGGGCAGUGGUGCAGUCCCCAUCCGUAGAGGUGUUUAAGAGACUUGAGAAUGCGGCACUUCAGGACAUUGCUUGGUGAUGGGGCUCAGUAGGUUAGACUGAUGGUUGGACUUGGUGAUCCUGAAGGUCUUUUCCAACCUGGAUAAUGCUAUGAUUCUAUGAAAGAAGCACUGCAACAUCUCAGAGACUCGCCUCCCUUCUACGCUACAUGCUUGGAGGGAAGAAAGGAGAUUGGGACUGUUCUUGUCCCACCAAGCAGCCCAGCUGCACUGCGAGAUUAGGUGUUCUCCUGGCUGGAUUAUGUCUGAGUUGUGUUGAU
rnacentral:lncRNA from 1 species